CCAGAGUGUCUGCAGCAGGACGGUGUGAACACUGAAGCUCAAAAUCUUUUUCUCAGUCGCACAUUGGAAGCCCCAAAGAACCGUCACUCUAAUACCCAGAUGCGGUUCCGCUAAGUGGCCAGUGGGACAACCCACGCAUUUGUGGCUAGAGUUGGUCAGGGUGUCCGAAAAUCCCAAGGCUUUUUAAUGUAAAUUUAGAAUUGCUGCAUUCUGAGAGGGCUGCCCUCUGCCUGCUGAGGCUCCUGCCCAGGCCUCCGUCCCCGCCCCCUGCCUGCUCUUCUCAUAGUUCUCAUUUUUCUAAGUCACUUACCUGCUUAGAGCAAGUCGGAGCCAUCCAGUGGCUUUUUGAGACGUUUGCCAGCAGACCUGACCCAGGGCGCUGUGACAUGCUCCCACAGGACGGAUUGCCUUGUGAAGGAGAGCAGUACGGCGAGAAGUCUGUGAGAGAGUCCCUGGGUCAAACAACAGUGAGCGUGAGUCAAAAGGCAGGUGACGGAUGACGGAGGGCAGGUGGGACAGGACACGGGAGCCACAGCUGGCUGGCAGGCCCAGGAAGGACCCCAUGCUCCCCUGCUCCCCCGCCUAGGGCUCCCCCAAGACGCUGUGAAGAAAGGAGAAACAUGGCUUCCCAUCUCCUGGGGCACUGGUGUGCGCAUGUCCUCCAGGCAACUGUGUCCACGGGAAGUGGCCCCAAGCGCCUGGGACCCCAGGAUACCACACAUCAGAUGUGUCUAAACUGCACCACAGAAGGGACCCCACAGAGCUCCUGCCCUGUGAGGACUCAGCGAGACGACGGCCGUCUGUGACCCAGAAAAGCCUUCACCAGAACCCAACCCUGCAGGCGCCCUGACCUUGACCUCCGGCCUCCC